UUGAAGUAUUGUGUUUGGGCUUUUACAACAUGUGCCUCACUGUUUCGCAUCUACAGAGAGAGUGCCGCUGAGAGAGGAGCCUGAGUGGAUCCGUGCCCAGAUCUGCAUUCUCUGUCCUCACCAUGCCCAGCUAAUUUUUUGUAUUUUUAGUAGAGACAGGGUUUCACCAUAUUGGCCAGGCUGAUCUUGAACUCCUGACCUCAAGUGAUCUGCCCACCUCAGCCUCCCAAAGUGCUGGGAUUACAGGCAUGAGCCACCGCGCCCGGCCAGCAUUGUAUCUUAAAGGUAGCCUUUCAGUUGUUUGGAUGACAGUUGUCUCCACUGGACAUCUGCUUCAUGCCAGGCCCUCUCCUGGGUGUUGGUGUGUCCACUCUUCCCUCCAACCACCAUAUUCCCUUGAGGCCAGGAAUGGACCUAAGGGUGCCUCAGGCAUGGGAAGACCCGAUACCGGCCUCUCUGGAGCUCGCUGGCUUCUGGAGUUCUGAGUUAAGGAGGUAGUUGAAGAGACCCAUGUAUGACCCCCAGAUGCCAGUAAAACUAAUCAUGUGCAGGGAAGGUGGUCACGUCAAUAAGAUUUUGAAAGCAAGAUUCAUCAAAAAAUAGGCCAGAUUUGCAGUCCCACAUGAACCUGCAUUGAACCCUCAUUGACUAUCCAGGUAUGUAUUACUUUAAAAAAAUAAAAACUAACAUAACCUUAAAACAUAUUAGCAAAUUUCCCUGACACACUGAAAGUAGGAUAUUAUUCUAAAAUUUUUCCUUUAUGUAUGUAGCUUUUUAGAAACCCUACAAAUGUGUUUUGUGUAAAAGGAUGUAGUCUGCAAUCAUUUUCUGACUCUUGGUGUAAUAAAAAUUAAGUGGCCUAAUUAUUUAAAAGCUUGUCGUUUGAAAUUAUUUUUUGAGAAACAGUUUAAAGCAUGAUACUAUUUUUGCUUUUCAUGUAAUGUAUAAGUAUUCGCAGAAGCUGCUUGUAUAUGUUUGUGUUCCAUGUAUGAAAAUGUUGUAAACAGGGUCCAUGUAUUUCCCCAGUGAGAGUUGCUGAUCUUUUGGCUGUAAUUACCAAGUGCUUGAGGUUGGGGUGGCUGGAAAUGAAUAUCAAGCUUUUCGGUGCCUGGAGCCAACUUUGUCCAAAUAAAAGAGCUUUGUACUGUGAAGGAAUUUUACUAAGUAAAUUUUGUUUAAAAAAUCCACGUGAAUUAAAGGAAAGGAAAUGAAGAAGAAGAUCGUAUCAAUACGAUGAUCUAAAUCAGUGUUCUGCAACUUUUCUACCCAGUCAUCAGUGGGAGUGAAUCAGUAGGAAUGUGGGGAAGGGAGUGAGGGGAGACCCCCUUCUUGACUCAGCAGUGGUGACGGUCGGUGUGUCCUGCAGACCUGAAGCCAAGAUCAAGGGCGCUUGAGCACCAGGAGCCCCCGCAGUUCCUGAAUGACCAGCGGAGGGCAGGUGCCAGCCUGUGGCAAAAUAGGAAAGAAAAGGACAGGAUGGGGACUUCACCAUUUUUUUCAGCCUUAAAUUGUUCCUUAAACCUUCAUGUCCUUUUCUCUAAUGUAUGUUCUUGUUUGGUAAAAUAAAAAAGUUUGUAACCCUGAGUUCUCUAAAGAUAUACAUUCUUUUUUACUGGUUUGUGAAGUCAGAAGGAUGAGAGCUGCUAUUUCUUGGAACCGUGCAAUAAAUAUUAGCAUAUUCAGUCUC
rnacentral:lncRNA from 1 species